UACGUAGGUGGCAAGCGUUGUCCCGGAUUUAUUGGGUUUAAAGGGUGUGUAGGCGGUUCUGUAAGUCAGUGGUGAAAUACUCCAGCUUAACUGGAGGGGUGCCAAUGAUACUGCAGAACUUGAGUACAGAUGAGGUAGGCGGAAUUGACGGUGUAGCGGUGAAAUGCAUAGAUAUCGUCAAGAACACCUAUAGCGAAGGCAGCUUACUGGGCUGUAACUGACGCUGAGGCACGAAAGUGUGGGGAUCAAACAGG
rnacentral:rRNA from 1 species